rnacentral:rRNA from 1 species
CAAUAGCAUAUAUUAAAGUUGUUGCAGUUAAAAAGCUCGUAGUUGGAUUUCAAGGGAAGCGUCUGCAUCGCGGAUCGCUCUCUACGGUCUUAUGACUGUUACUGUGAGAAAAUUAGAGUGUUUAAAGCAGGCAAUUGCAGGAAUAUAUUAGCAUGGAAUAACGAAUGUGCUUACAAUUUGGUUAAUUGUAGGUUACGAUUAAUAGGAACAGUUGGGGGCAUUAGUAUUUAAUUGUCAGAGGUGAAAUUCUUGGAUUAGUUAAAGACUAACGUAUGCGAAAGCAUUUGCCAAAGAUGUUUUCAUUAAC